UCACAAACUGUGUUCAUUGCAUGCAUGC
rnacentral:piRNA from 1 species